AUUCACUGUGCUGCAGGCAGUGGAAAGAAGAGAGAGAUGUAUCACUCCUUGAGGGCUCAGACCUCAGGACUCCCCAAGCAACUGUAACACCCCUUGGGCUCCACAGUUGCUGGCAUCUCUGAGUUUUCAGAAGCCACUGCAGCCUCCUUGUCCAGACACUGGCACCCAAGCAGAAAUGAUUCAAGACAGCACACCCGGACCAGUCAUGGACUGAGCACAGAGUUGGCAGGCACUGGAUCCAGGCCCAUAGCACAAGCUGAGUGCAAUCACUGGGCUGAGUGAGAGGAGUAAGCCUAGCAGAAAACCCAGUGCCAAGCAAAGCCUGAGCAAAGGCACCACUAGCCACAGAGCUUUCCUGCUGGCAAAGGAGCACCAAAAGAAUCCUGUGUCAUUUCUGGGGGUCAUCUGAGAUCUGCAAAAGGCAGCAUGAAUACACCCCUUUACUUGAAGAUGAUGCAGAGACUUCUGCCUUUCAAGAUAGCACAUCUCCCUCUGAAGAUUCAUCUCAACCUUUGCUUGGAGCAUCUGGUGACUGAAGAAGAGGCCAAAUCCAUGAAUAAUCAUUAUACAAUGAGUGGGCAACAUUAUAUGGUGAUGAUUCAACCAGUCCUUCUUCACAGAAACCUAUGACCAUUUACUCAGAAUAUGAAAAUAGAUGCAAUUUAAGUUGGGAAAAGUCAAAGGUGACAUUAAAAAAUAUUUCACAACUAGCUGAAUUUGUGUGCAGCACAUUGUUGCUCCAGCUUAAAAACCUCCUGUGUGGUAAAUGCUUGGCAGCCCUGGGGAAGGCAAUGAACACGGUGAAAUUCAGUGCAGUGUGGUAAGACAAGGAGAGCAUGAAUAAUAUUUGGAGAUCUAGCACACCUUAGUGGAAACAAUUAUUAUUACAACUGCUUUGAAGACAUUUGAAUUUUAAACUCCAUUGUUUGUGAAAUUCUAUUUUGACUAAAUAGAGGGACUUUGUUCAGGCUUUUGUUGUCUUUAGCAUGAUGUGUUUCUUUCCUAAACUCCACACAGAUAAGAAGAUAAAUUUGAUCAUGAAUUUCUAAAAGUAGAAAUCAUAGGUUUUUUAGAAUUAGCAUAAAAUUAUUGUACAACCCUCCAUGGGCUAUCAAAUUGGGAGCAAUCCAAUUUUAUUUGCCAUCAUGGUCACAUAUAAAGUGUCAGAUUAUUCUUGUUAGAUGAUUAUUGUACAUUUAACUUAGAAAAGCUUCUCAGGUCUGCUCCUGAGAUGCUUGAAAGACUUUUGGUUUAAAUAGGUUGCAUAUGUUCUGCUGUUAAUGGCUGACCGUUUUUAUUUCAUAUUACUAAAAUGUAAUCAAGAAAAAGAGAGUAGAAAAUACAUCGCAAAUAUUCAGUCUACUAUCUAGACAAUUUCAAAAGCUUUCAAUUUUAUCUCCUGUUCCAUUAUCUUCAAUUGUAGAGUUUGGAUAGGAAAAGAAUUCAAAAAUAAAUACAAAACAUUCAUUCCAAUACAUGAAGAAAAUUAGCCCUGUUCAUGUACAUUUUCUAAUAUGGAUAUGUUUCUAAAAAUCAGAAUAUAAUAUUUAUGGAGUCAUUAGUAAAAUGCACUUGAUUAUC